UACGUAGGGGGGCUAGCGUUGUCCGGAAUCAUUGGGCGUAAAGCGCGUGUAGGCGGUCCGGUAAGUCCGCUGUGAAAGUCGGGGGCUCAACCCUCGAAUGCCGAUGGAUACUGCCGGGCUAGAGUUCGGAAGAGGCGAGUGGAAUUCCUGGUGUAGCGGUGGAAUGCGCAGAUAUCAGGAGGAACACCUAUAGCGAAGGCAGCUCGCUGGGACGACACUGACGCUGAGACGCGAAAGCGUGGGGAGCGAACAGG
rnacentral:rRNA from 1 species